rfam:Stegodyphus mimosarum contig101781, whole genome shotgun sequence.
GACUUCGUGGUGUAGUGGUCAACACGCUGGGCGCGUAUUCCAGACGUCCGUGGUUCGAGUCCCGGCGAAGGCG